AACACAUGCAGUACGAACGAGAACGGAUUUAGUUAACUAAAAAUNGUCAGCUAAGUGGCGCACGGGUGAGUAAUAUAUAGUUAACCUGCCCCAAAGAAGAGAAUAAUUGAUGGAAACGUCUGGUAACUCUCUAUAUGCCUUUAAUUACAUAAGUAAGCAAGGGAAACAUUUAUGGCUUUGGGAUGGGACUGUACAGUAUCAGAUAGUUGGUGGGGUAAUGGCUCACCAAGUCAAUGACGCUUAACUGGUUUGAGAGGAUGAUCAGUCACACUGGAACUGAGACACGGUCCAGACUCCUACGGGAGGCAGCAGUGGGGAAUAUUGCACAAUGGAGGAAACUCUGAUGCAGCAACGCCGCGUGGAGGAUGACACAUUUCGGUGCGUAAACUCCUUUUAUAUAAGAAGAUAAUGACGGUAUUAUAUGAAUAAGCACCGGCUAACUCCGUGCCAGCAGCCGCGGUAAUACGGGGGGUGCAAGCGUUACUCGGAAUCACUGGGCGUAAAGAGCAUGUAUGCU
rnacentral:rRNA from 1 species